rnacentral:rRNA from 1 species
GGGGGGCGGGGGGGGGGGGCGGAGGACGUGCAGGUCGGGCGGAAAGGGCGCUGUGGGGGUACUCGAGUGGCGAACGGGGGAGUAACGCGGGAGUAACCUGCCCUUGACUUCGGGGUAACUUCAGGAAACUGCGGCUAAUACCGGAUAGUGAUCCUUGCUGCAUAGUGGGGGUGUGAAAGCUUCGGCGGUUUUGGAUGGACUCGCGGCUUAUCAGCUUGUUGGUGGGGUAGUGGCUUACCAAGGCUUUGACGGGUAGCCGGCCUGAGAGGGCGACCGGCCACAUUGGGACUGAGAUACGGCCCAGACUCCUACGGGAGGCAGCAGUGGGGAAUAUUGCACAAUGGGCGGAAGCCUGAUGCAGCAACGCCGCGUGCGGGAUGACGGCCUUCGGGUUGUAAACCGCUUUCAGCAGGGGCGAAGCUUGUGGUGACGGUACCUGCAGAAGAAGCACCGGCUAACUACGUG